UGCGUAGGUGGCGAGGUAAGUCGGAUGUGAAAUCUCGGAGCUCAACUCCGAAACUGCAUUGGAAACUACCUUGCUCGAGGGUUGGAGGGGGGACUGGAAUGCUUGGUGUAGCAGUGAAAUGCGUAGAUAUCAAGCGGAACACCAGUGGCGAAGGCGAGUCCCUGGACAACUCCUGACACUGAGGCACGAAAGCUAGGGGAGCAAACA
rnacentral:rRNA from 1 species